CCUUCGGGUGGGAGUAGAGCGGCGAACGGGCGAGUAACGCGUUCCUAACGUGCCCCAAGGUCGGGGAUAGCUGGGGGAAACCCCAGGUAAUACCCGAUGACCCCGCGAGACCGCAUGGCCUUGCGGGUAAAGGCUUGUCCGCCUUGGGAUCGGGGAACGUCCUAUCAGGUUGUUGGUGGGGUAACGGCCUACCAAGCCAAAGACGGGUAGCGGGUGUGAGAGCAUGACCCGCCGCAUCGGGACUGAGACACUGCCCGGACUCCUACGGGAGGCUGCAGCGACGAAUCUUCCGCAAUGCGCGAAAGCGUGACGGAGCAAUGCCGCGUGCGGGAUGAAGGCCUUCGGGUUGUAAACCGCUGUCAGGGGUUAGGAAUUUUGACCAGCCCCAGAGGAAGGACCGGCUAACUUCGUGCCAGCAGCCGCGGUAACACGAAGGGUCCGAGCGUUGCGCGGAAUCACUGGGCUUAAAGCGUGCGUAGGCGGGGGCGUAAGUGUCUUGUGAAAUCCCACUGCUCAACAGUGGAACUGCAGGGCAUACUGCGUUUCUUGAGGCCGGCAGAGGGUGUCGGAACUGUAGGUGUAGCGGUGAAAUGCGUAGAUAUCUACAGGAACGCCAAUGGUGAAGACAGACACCUGGGCCGGACCUGACGCUGAGGCACGAAAGCGUGGGUAGCGAACAGGAUUAGAUACCCUGGUAGUCCACGCCGUAAACGAUGCGCACUAGGUCUCGGAGGUUUUGA
rnacentral:rRNA from 1 species